AUUAAAAUUUGUUUCGAUUCAAGGUGUAAAAAUAUGGUUAUCGAGGUGAAUUCGUUAAAAUGCAUAUGGUAGCAUGAUGUAAAGUCUCCUAUUUCUCGCCACUGCUGUUUUGAAAAUGACUUUCUUUGAAAAUACUCAUAAAUUCACUCUUGCGGUACUUCACAAGAAGCCUGAGUUUUUCUGCGUCGUUCUAAAGCUUCUUCAAAGGGACGAUUCUAUUUUCUGAUGUAUCAAGGCAGAAAACCUGACAGAUUUGGAAACAUCUCUCCGUAAAAGUUUACAAGCGAGAGUCCUGCAAAUAUUACAGAAGUGUGGACAGAUAUGAAAGGCAUGAAUUUUCAACCCACAACUGCCCACAAAGCGCGUCCUUGAAUUGCUCUACAAAUGAAACUGAAUCUUCCUCAAACAACGAACACAAAAGGCGCUUCGAACGGGCGAAAAUUCAGUAAUUAUCAAAUGAGCUUUAAACUUGGACAAAAAUGGCACAUGACCUUCGGACGAGUUAGUAUUUUAGCGCAAAGAGGAAGAAAAAAAAAACUUAAGACAAAUAAAUAUUGGGUUUUUCCUUUCUAGAUUCAGUUUCCAAAAAAGAAUAAUCAUACCUUUUGGAGGGUGGGAAUACUCAUGAAUUACGACAGGCAAAUAAAGAGAAUAUGGAAAGGCCAAGCGCUAGGAAAGCGUUUAAAAAAAAAAAAUCGCUCUACUGACUCGGCCGUUCACUUUUUAUUUGGUUCCACUCCUGAAGGAUUUACUUUAAAUUAUUCUUCUUUCAGCAUGCUUUUUAAAACUUGCUAAAAACUACUAAAUGUUGAUUGAGUAGUCUGGUCGUCCGCGGAAGAGAAAAGUCCUCGAAAGGGUUGAUAUCAGCUGCAUUGACUGACCAAACCUGAGUUGUGCUCUACUAACAAAGAACUCCUCACUUGACCCUAAUGAUAACUUCUGCUUAGGCUGCUGAAACGUCAGUCACUUUUACAGACAACAGUCUUUUCCAGCACCGAUCACAACCGGGAAAUCAGACUGUACGAUGAGUUACGGCGAACUCUCGUGAAGAGCUAGGUCAUUACUGAGUUAUUGUGUAAGACGCGACCUGUAUAUUGCUAGGAUCUGAAACAUUGAAAGCGUCGUGUGGAGUUUUCCAGCAGUAACUAUCGAUAAAGUUUAUCGUUCCUGAAUUCUGGCAUGAACAGAAUAAAUCCUCGGAAUAUCAGCCAUUGGCAGGGCAUCGGUCAGUAGAGACGAGCGAGACAGCACGUGGGCACAAAACGGCGGAAGUUUUGGAGGUAUAAAAAACAAAGAGAAAGAAAAUCUGCUGCCGUUUCACCAGACAAAUAUUAAGUUCCAUUCGCUUGUUAUUUCGUUCGUCUCCUCUAACCAAGAGAGCCUGGUACCAGCUUAUGCAAUAUCGGCGAAACAAGAACAUAUACAGGAUAUCAACUGUUGAUACUAUAUAUAAUUUGGUUUUAUAAACUAAGUUUAUAAUGUAUUGUGAUUCGCUCGACGAACGGCUAACGCUCGAAACGUCAGGUUGGAAACUCUUUACGGUGGCCAAUUUACAUCAUCAGCACAGUUGAUAAAACCAAAUUACCCUGCUAGACUCCCCCAUCAACGUAGCAACACAGAUUCUUUUGGUAACUUACCCAUUUAUUCAUUGGUGAUACUAUAUGCUCGUCUUUAUUUUCAAAAGAAGACUUUUUUAUUACGAAAAUAACUGCUCAUUUUUUCAGCAUUUU